UCCAGAAAUUACUCUCCUGAAAAUUCUGGAGGCCACACAAUUUCUGAUGCUAUUUCAUCCCAAUGUAAGUCAGCCCCAGAUAUAUAUUCUCUAUCACCGCUAAUGAUCUUGAGCAGAAUUAAAUAAUCCCCAUCUAUUGAGUAAAAGUGAAAUCAGUGAUAGAUUUCAUGUUAAGGGAAAUUAGCAUAUCCUAGCAAUGCUCCUUUGC